CAGUGGGGAUUAUAGCCUGAAUAGAGAAAAAAAUAUAUAUAGCUGAGCUCUCUAUCUUCUUUUCUGUGUAUUUAGCUACCCCCCUAAUUUUCUUUAUAGUCCACGGCACUACAGGAAUUCCUGUGCAGAUGACAGCAUUUGCUAAAUACUAAGAGGAACACCCACCACAAUUCUGGGUCUUUUUUUUUUUUUCUCUUUCUAAGAUUCCUGGGUUAAUUAUUUGCCUUUUUUUUCUUUUUUAAUUUUAUUGAACUAAGCAGAACAAGGGAAAAUAUCAACUAUGUGAGCACUAACAGUACUUAUACGAUGAAAUUAACUACCCAUUGCAUUUGACAGGUGUGCUAGUUUGAAGCAAGCUAGAAUGUUUUGAUGAGAAGAACUAGGUCAUAGGCUGUGAAAGGAAAACGAUGGUGAUGUCUGCUCCCCUCAGAGUCUUGCUGAAGAAGAAACAAAAACAUUAGAUAACACUCUCGCCAUUUUGUCUCACACUCUGCCUUGGGCUUCUGACUGAACUGCAUCUCCCUAACCUCACCUUCCAUUUGGACUAACCCACCGUUGCUUCAUAACCUCUUGGCUGAACCUCUAUUCUUCUUUAGGACUGGGAAACAGCAGAUAAGUCACCUUCUUGUCUUCAUAUCAAUACAUCAUUAAAAAGAUAUUCAUUGGGAAAAGAGAAUAAUGGAAGAGAAGAUAAAUGAAUUCAUCACAUUGGAAAGAGAGGGGAACAGCUGUCAUGAAACAAGACGUUUGGCUACCAUGGUGACAGGUGCUACAAAAAAGUAAAAGCAGCUCACUGGAGAUCUUUUUGUGCUACUUAGUGCGUAAUUUUCCACAUAGGUUCAGAGAGGGUAUAAAUAUUGGGGGCUUCCUGCCUUUGGGGUUCCCACCUUGGAGUUCACCCCCGCUUGGAGUUCGUUACUGCCUGAACCUUCGUGCUUGCCUGAGAGUUCUCCCCCUCCUCUCGCCUGGCCUGGAUACAGAAAGAGCUUCAAGGACUGCGCCACCCAUUGACACCCUUUGUAAACCUAACGACCCUUAAUGACCCAUCUGCAGCUGCUGAAAGGGAACGAGAGGGACAGAUCGCACGAUGAAGUCAGCCUGAUCGUGAGUUAUUUUGGCUCAGCUUUAUUAGUAAGAAAACUGCUAUUAAUUAAUAGCGAAAGCCUCUUCCAACUUCUGACUUCCAAAAUAGUCAGAUUAUCGAUGACAUCCCUGUAGAUAUUCUCGAGGCAACUGAAUCUGGUAAUUAAAACUAAAUUAAUUUCUGUAUAUAUAGUUCUGGGGGCGGGUUUUUUUUGAAAAUAAAAUAACUCUAUUUUUGUAUAAAAAUUCCUGAUUUGGCCACAUUAAUUCCCUGCCUCCACAACAAUUACAUUAUACAAACCUUAACUUUGAUGAUGUGUCUUCAUCAUCUUAAUCUAUAUUUAGCUAGUUUAGCAAAAAAGACCAUUCACACAUAGCUCUUUCGCCUGAGUACAAAAGUGCACUAUAUGCAGAAGUGCAGAGUAGUCUUGACAAGCCAACAAAAGCCCCAAAAGAAAAGAUUAAAUUGAAACAUAAUCAAAACUUUUCCUCCACUAAGGAAACUUUCCACAACUAUUUUAAAUUGUGUUUUACAAUAAUGCCUAAUGAAUACAAUUAAAUAUAAUUACAAGACCUUGCAGAUUCAAAUCUGAAUACUAAAGACUGGUUAAAAAACUCAGACUCCAGAUGUUGACAGAACAAAAGUACCAACGAAAUUAAAUACAUAUCUUGAAGAUAGCCCCUUAAAAGGUUACUAUUUUCUUGCUGUGUUCAUUAAUAAGCAUAAUUUCCUCAAUUAUCAGACAAUUGCUUGUUUAGGUGCAUUUUCUUCUUUUAACUACUACUGUUGCCCAUUUUCAGUGCCUCUUUUGUAAUAUGAAAUCCAAAAUUUUACUGGUGAUGAAGAAAUUUGAUUUUUCUGUAUAGUUUCUGCUUUCCUACAGUAUCAUGAAAGAACAUAUAACAAUAUCCUGCCUAUACACAGAAAACGCAUGUAUUUGUAUGUUCCAUGUAUAUAUAACAAACAUACAACACAAAACUGAAGAGCUUGAACCAAAAUUCACCAGCCACUGUAUGAAGCCAGGGCAAGAUAAAGAUACAAAGCACUGCUGGAAACAAGGAAGAUAAGUUUCCCAAACGACUAAUCUCAUUAUUUAAUCCAGUGUCUGAGAAGAUGUGAUCUAUGAUAAUUUUUUUUUAGGUGACAGAGACAUUUACAAGGAAACAUGUAGAUAGAGUUGAAACUUGCUACUGGGGACAGAUGUUUCUGCAGAAGCUGAAGGUCAAAAAUUGUGACAUCCACGCUCAAAGUCAUAUGCUGCAUCAGAUUGCAUCAGUGAGGCUGAAGUGCUGUUUUGUAGACAGCUGUAAAGAAAAAGAAUAUACUUUUUUUAAUAUUAUGACAUAAUUAUUUUUCACUGAAUUUUACUGAAACCCCUAUAUGAUUUACUAUAACCUUUAAUAUAACCUCAGACAAUAUCCAAGUUCUGCAAGAAGGAAAAAGAUAAAGCACCUAAAGAAAACACAUACCUUUUUUUUUUCAAAGAAGAAUUAUCAAAUAUAAUCUGCCUUAAUCAGCAGACAAAUCUUUAGCAACUGAAUAUCUCUCAUAACGUAAACCACUGUCGUGCAAUAAACUAUAUGGAAGUCUACAUAAAGAAUUGAGUUCAACAGUGCAGGGUUUUUUUUCUGUAUAGCAAGUUGUUAUGUUUAUGCCUCACUUUGGAAAAUGUAAAGGCAAAAUUGUAUUUUGGUAAUAAAACUAAGCAAAAAGGUGUUGUGGGUUGUUUUGUGGUUUUGAAUUGUUUGUUUGUUUAUCUUUUCCCCAAAAGAACAGAUAGAAAAUACAAAACAAAAAAGGGACCGAGAAUAUGAAAUCUAAGAUUUUCAUUACCUGUGCUUAUAAUACUUGUGCCUGGCUGAAUAGAGAGAUUUGGCUGUCACUCAGGGGAAAAGGAAAGUUUAUGGUAGUUGGAAGGACGGUCAGGCCACACAGGAGGAAUACAAAGUUGUGAGGCUAUGCAGGGACAAAAUUAGAAGGGCCAGUGAUUAGCUAGAUAUUAAUCUGCCUUCAGCUGUUAAAGACAACAAAAACUCUUCUACAAAUAUAUUAGCAACAAAAGCAGGACUAAAGAGAACUCUUAUCUUUUUUUAUCCUUUACAGAAUGCAGGGGAAAAUAUAGUAGUCAUGGAUGAAGAAAAGGCUGAGGUGCUACUGUUGUUUGCCUCUGUCAGUAGUAGUAGGGCCAGCUGUUUGCCAGGUACUCAGAUCCCUGAGCUGCAAGGUAGCGAUAGGAAGCCAAAUAAUGUCCCCUAAUCCAAGAUGAGUUGGCUAGUGGCCUUCUGUGCCACCCAGACAUACACAGGUUUAUGGGGUUCCAGUGUGGGGUCCAUCAUGGGCUGCAGAUGCUCUACCCUAAACCUCCAUGGGCUGCAGUGGGACAGCCUGCUGUCUUGCUGUGGGAUUCUCUGGCUCACCUCCUCCAUUCCUUCUUCAUUGACCUUGGUGUCAGCAUAGGUGUUUCCUUCACAUGCCACUCCUCUCUCUACUCCAGGUUGCCCUAGUUUUUCUUUCCUUCUGUAAUAUACUUCUACAGAGAAGCUUUCACCAGCACUGAUUGAUUUGCUUUGGCCAGAGUCAGGUCCAAUUUGAAAUGGGAGAAGGUUCUAAUAGCUUCUCACAGGGCCCACCCUGUAGGCCCUCCUCUGUAGCAUUUGGUUGAGGCUGCAACAGGCAUGGACUUCAGAAGGAUUUUCCCCCAUGACGACAUUUAAUUGCACAACUUAUUUUUCUUAUAUACACUUCCAGUUCUAUUCACAUGGCAAUUUUCAGAUCACACCCUUUACUACUCAUGCAUAUUAAUUACACUGGUUAAUUACAUGAGGUCUACACCCAAAUUCCUUCCAUUCACACUUCCAUUUAUCUCAUCUACCAUCAACACCUAGAUGGCAGACCAUUUUUUCAUACUAAACUGAGCUGAAAUAUGUCAUUCCCAUUCUCCUCUAAUACAAAAUCACACCACACACCACCAAUUGACCAUUGCUUUCUGUUAGCUUUAGAAAGACAAGCCUUAGGAUGAAGAUUUAAGGUUAAGGAAGUGAGAACUGGUUUAAUCAAUUCAGCUUCACCUUUUCUUCUUUAAGGAGCACAUAAGAAUGGACGCAUUCCUUAAACCAAGAAAUAUUACAGUUCUGGGCUAAUAUAUGCCACCUACCUUUAGUUAAUUUCAAAACAUCAGUACUUCUUUGUAGGUCUGCAUCACAUAUAAACUCAGCUUGUGUGAUAAUCACAAGGUGGUAGAAUUGUACUUUAUUGGAAUUGUUAUAAUUAUUACUGUAAGCUG